AUUCAAAGAAAAAAUCAACCAAGCAGCAUACAUGAUGUGGGAGACAUGAGGGGCUCAAUAAUUCAACAGUGUUUUCCUCUAUAGCUCUUUCCAGAAUGGCAUGCAGUUCAACCUCUUCUUGCAGCUGCUUUCGUAAUCUUUGUACCUGUUUCAAUAACAGUUACAUAAGAAUGGAAGAGCUCCUUUAUGCUAGCUACAAUAUUUAGCUCUACAAUAUUUAUUUUGGGUUCUUCCAGUGUCUAUUGAUCUAAGAAAACGUCAUAACAGGAGAGAAUCAGCUCUGGUAACUAUGGUCUAUUUACCUGGUUUAAAUGCCUCAAUAAUGAAUGACAGAUCUAUAAAUAAUAUAUACUCAAUCAGUGUAGAGAACUACAUAAUGAGGGCAAUAACCAAAAGUGCCUUCUGGCAACUUGCUUCCUUAUGUCAUAUCCAAAAGGCAAUGCAAUCAGUGAACAGUUAUACAGUGGGGCUCCUAAGUUUUAUGUUGGAGGAGCUCACAUCUCUCUCAAGUUGAAAUCUGGUACAAUAAGAAGCAUUGCUUUUCUCACAGGAUCCAGGACUUCUAGCCUCCCCACUGAGAUUACUCCCCUGCACAAAUUAGCACAUUUAGAGCAAAAAAAUAAAGGAUAAUUUCAAAACUAAAAGGGGAAAAAGAUGUGUUAGAACUACUAAUGGAAGAUAUGCCAAAAAAUGCGCCCACCAAUGUCUCAUUUUGAACUGAUUCAUGGAAAGAGCCAUUCAAUCUAUCAGAAUUGUGCCAGUUGGCCACAAAAAACUAGUACUCGAUCAAGGGUACAAGAAUGAACCCCAAAAAUUUAAGGAAAAUUUUUUGUGAAGAUAAAACUUCAACCAGAUAAACAUGAGAAUAAACUAAAUGAAUUCAAAUAUGGAAAAAAAAAAACCAAAUGCAAGCAUGAAGAAGAAAAUCAGAGAACUACUAACACAAAUUAAAGCAGAUACUUGUGAAUUCAAAAACAAGCCAAAAGCAACUCACCUCCAACUGAAUUUCUGGAUCGCAAAGGCUAAUUUCAUGAGAUGAGCAGUUUGAUGUACAACCACUUCUGCAUAUAAUCCCGUCGGACAGUGAGAAGGUAGAGCAUUGCAAAAGACCAAGGGUAAAAAGCAACAGAUGGAGAAGAAAAACGAUGGUGCUGCCUUACUGACUCAAAGCAGAUUGCAUCACUGGCAAGUCACACAUGGUGUAAUAAUAGAGUUUGGCAUUUAUCAACUAACAGCCUGCAAAACCCCAUAUAUUCAUCUAGCUAUUUCCUUGUGAAAACAAGCAGGAAAAAAAAAAUCCCAGAAUUAGAUUACCAUAAAAAAAUUAGAAUACUGUUAAUUGGGAAAUCUAAUUGGGGUUCGCCAUUAAUAAUCUUAGUAUAAGUGAAAUGCAGGUCAUAGUGAGAUAAAGUACUAGAGAAAGCACCGCGCCACCUGUGAACAUGUAAUAUAGACAAACAAAACUUAAUGAAUGCCCAGCUACCAGUCAUUUUCAAUACAACCAUACAAACAAAAUUAGGACCCUUAUGAGCUCAAAAAGUUUGGCUUCUGAUGCAAGACAUACAACUAACAGAUAUAGAUAGGAAAACUGUCGAAAAAGAAUAUGAAUGAAAAAUUGACACAUAAUUUGCAAUUUGUUGAGUGAAUAUAACUGACAGUAAUUAUUUACAUUUUCAGUUCAUAAAAGUUAGAGCAAAAGAUAGAGCAAAGGGAAAAAAAGCAAAGUAAAAAUCUCUCAAUAUUAUGAGGAUAUGAUUGCAACCCAACAACAAGAAAAAAAAAAAAGGGCAAGUUCAAAAGAAUUAGGUAAGUCAAAAGGACAGUGCUCCAUUAACAUACCACAAAAAGCAUUAGAGGCUGGGUUUCAGAAGGACAAGUUGGUCCCUUUCACCACCCUUUUCCCUAACUUUUGCAGUGAAGAAAACAAUUGACGGAAAUAUGAAAAUGGAGAGAUUUCUCACACACACCUGAUUAUCCCAGAGACUGCAUGAGGCUUUGACCGAGAUUCUGUGAUGUGGAGUAAAGUACGUCAAAAGGGGAAAAGUAAGGAGAAAAACUGAGAGUUUACUUUGCAAAAGAAGUCCCAAUCUACAGAACAAUGAUAAAGAGAAUUAUACAAGAAAGAAGAAGCAAAAGAACAAUUCAAAGGACAGAUCUCGGUGGUCCCUUUUCCCCAAGAAAAUGUAAAAUUGCAUAAAGACCAUCAACAGCUGCAAUAACAGCUCACGGUUCUCAUUGCAUCUUUUUAACCCUAAAAGACAAACAGAAAAAGACCCUUUUUCAAACUUCAAGAGCAGAGGGAAAGUGAGAUUUGAAUGCAAACCAAAACAAAAAAACAAAAAAAAAAUGUAAAGAGGUCAAAGGGUAUAAGAAUUUAGACACCACAAAAAGCCCAUUUCAGAGCAAGUUUCACCAUGAAAACAUUCAUCAAACUAAAGAUACUCCCAGCACCACAGCUUUCUUCAGAGGAAAAAAAGAAGAAGAAAAUUGAUAGAGACCCAAUGUCCCGAAACUGGUUCAGCUUCCCUUUCCCAGCUCUUUUUUCUCUUCCAAUCCUGAAUUAUUGAACUGGAUCUCCCUCUAAAAGUUCAAAUAUUCUCUCGUGACACAACAGAGAAAUGACAAAAGAAACAGUUGAACGGCUUCUCAAGCAAAUGACGACUCCUAUUUUAUUUAUAGUCUUGGUUGAUAUCAAACAAAGGAGAUGAUGAAAACAGGGAUUUCAAACAAAGGGAAGGGUAGAAUCAUGAAACCACUUGACCUGCUAGAAGCAUUAAAGAACUAUAUCCCCACUAAUAAAUUAGCGAAAGACAAAUGUUUUGAAAACAUUAUGAGCCGUUUGGUUUUACUUUUUUAUUUUUUCUUUAUGUUAACUUCAAAACUAAUUUGAUUUGAC
rnacentral:lncRNA from 1 species